rnacentral:lncRNA from 1 species
GGGGGCAGCGCGGGGCAGCGGGGGCGGCCCCGAACCGCUCAGGUGCGGGGUGGGCACGGCCGGGGGAACCCCGGGGAGCGGUGCCGUGCGGGGCUCGAUGUGGGGGUCGGAAAGGGGAAAAAAAAAAAAAAAAGAAAAGAAAAAAGGAAAAGAAAGGGGAAAAAAGCGCAAUUUUCAUUCCAACUUUUUCUUUCUUUCUUUCUUUCUUUCUUUCUUUUUUUUUUUUUUUUUCCCCCCUUCGCUAGAGCGUUAACUCCUCCGUGUGGGCGCACAGCCCUUCUCCCUUGGUUCUCAGCCUCAUCCCCGAGAUUGAACUGCAGUUUUAAUGAGAGCCUCGACCGCGCCGGGCGACGGAGGAGAGGAGGGCGGCCCGGGCCGACCCGUGCCGAUAGAGCCGGCCCGGUCGGUAGCGACGGAGCCGGUCCGAUCCGUGCCCGUGGAGCCGCCCGGCCGCGGGCAGAGGCAGAGGUCGGCCCCACGGCGGGGCGGCGCGGCGCGCUGCCGGCACACGCUGCUGCGGUAUUGAUCCGGGGGGAAAGAUAAACAGCGAAGCCGGCCCCUGUGUCCUGAAUGCUAAUGCGCGCGCCUUCCGCAUUUUAAUUGUUGUUCACUUCUUAUUUCCACCGCAAACAUUCGCCGCCCUCAGCGUGGCGAUUCCCCCCUCCGUCUUUAUUUCACUUCGCUCGCUCUCCUUCAGCUUUCUUCCUCCCGUUUUGGUUUCUUUUCUUUUUCCCCCGACUCCUCCCGUCGGAACCUCGCCUCGAAUUUCCCCACCGACGCCGGGGACAGCGGCUCCGCUCCGUGCCUCGCCCCAUCCCCGCGCAGCGCAGCGCCGCUCCCACCGCUCCUCUUCGGGCUGCGCGGCUCAGCCAGCAGCGCACGGCUCAGCCCGGACCCCCUCCCCCCUCACACCGCUGCUCGGGGACCCACGGACCGCGCACUUAAGGGGCAAUUAAGCGGGUCGAGCCGACGCGUCAGACAGCGAGGAGACGCUCAGCUCGAAUUCCCGUCAUUACAAAUGAUUUUCACGAAGGGAUCUCCUAAAAUAUGGUCGUUUGUUUUCCUCCUUUACCCUUCCCAGGGUGUUUUUUAGUCCACGAAUGAUUUACUGCGGAGGUAACGUCGGAGGACGCGGUUAACAGAGUGACUUAUUGGGGCGAACAGCCCGGGCUGACACCUCCGUGUGCCCACACCGCACCGCUCCGCACCGCUCCGCAUUCCUUCACAGCGCGGACUCCCGGCCGACAUCAAACGACCCCCGGCGAGCGCGGCGGUUUUAAGACACGGGGAAAUGAAAACUAAAUACGGGCUUAAAGUAUAAAACAAAAUUCGGGAGGAGAGGCGUAGAUCGCUUCGGUACAAUCCCGCGGGGGCAGAGCCCGAGCAGCCGACUCGGGCCGGAGCAGAAGCGGUCCUUCCGCUGACCGCUAUUUACUGCCGCGUUAUCGCGGCGGUGGUUUUAAUUCCCGGUAGGAACGUCGGGCCGAGAGCGGUGCCCGCAGUUUCCCCCAACGCUCUUUCCCCAUUUCUUUGGUGUCGGCGUUACGAGGCUGCAACAGAAGGAAAACGUUUCCACCGUUCCGCUUAACGCCCUUCACUUCUCCCCGGCACUUUGGCUUUGAGAGGCUUCUCUCGUCACCGGCACGGACGCCGCUCCUCUUUUUCCCGUUAUUUUGGGUACGGCGAAGGCGGCUUUCAGCUCCCUGCUCGCCCAUAUCCCGCUGCCCCCCCCGGCUCCUCCGCAGCCCUCCCCGACCACCGUUGUGCGCCCCGGGGGAGGGCAAACCCCGGAUGCCGCAGUGCUCCCCCCCUUAUCUCCCCCUCCGCCCCGUCCCGGAGCGCUGCUCUGCGCGGGGGGAGGGGGGGGGGGGUGUUGCGGGGCCGCGUUUGUCCCCCUUUGUUACUCGAGCAUUUGAGAAGAAAAUACUCUAAAGAAAUUAAAUACGGAAAGAGAGGAUAGAAAAACCAAAGCGAAGGAUUCGCUUUAGGAAAUAGACCAAACGACACCCUACAUUAAUAUAGCCGUUCCGCGUCCGCGGACUGAGCCCACGGCCGGGUCAGCCCCUUCCGAAACGCUCCGCCCGAGCCCGACCCGACGGCUGCGCCCCGUGCCCGCUGCCUCGGCGUUGCUCUGCGCUCAACCUGCCCUCCCGCUGCUCUCCCUGCGGGGUCCGGCCGUAGGCAGUGCCGGGACGUGCGGCGGCCGCGGGGUUGCCGUCGGGGCGCAGCUGUGUGGCUCCCAUUUUGACAAACAGCGCUCGCAUGAGGCGGAGGGCCACGGGUUCCAGCCCGUCUCCAGC